AAGUCCAAGUCUUUCAGUCAUCAUGAUACGGGUUCGAAGAACACCCAAAAAAGCCUUUUGAUGCUCAGACGCACCAACCAGAGUGCUCACCUUCGACGCCGGAAAAAUCAUGGUGGCGUUCGCGAGUGGUUAGAUUCACACCGUCGUUGCUGAUUCGCAUGAAGAGUGAAAGACGUCGAGUCUAGAUGCGGAAUGAAGAUCCAAAGAGCAUGCCAUGGUUGUUGGAUCGAGGCGAAUUCGAUGCAAAACUCAACCCCGAUUCUUAAAUUCGUAUCGUAGUUUCUGCGUUGUGGCUGUCCGAUUCUGAAUGGUGAUGUGUUUGUGUCUUCGUCGUUUAAUUCGUGGUCGUUGUGUAGGAUGCAUCGUGGUAAUGAAUGAAUACUUGUGUUCGUUGUUGAUGAUUAGGAGUGAAGGACUAUUCUUGAGUUCUUCUAGUGUGUUGCGUUUCCGUUGAAGAUGAUUUCACGUUCGUGCACUCUGAUGAGAUUCGUGGUACCUUUGCUCGUGCAUGGAGUGAAAGAUUCUGAAGAAGGAAGAAAUGGCCCACUAGAUUCACGCUCCGACACGGUGGCUUCAGGUGAGGGCUUGAAGUGGAGAUUCUGUUUGCAGGUUGAAGGAGGUUAGAAGGUUUUGGUGGGAGGUUUUUGAGUGUUGCUAUAUGAUGGUGGAGAAGUGAAGAAGUUUCUUGAAGUUAUGGUUUUUGGGUUAAAGGUCUGUUAUGAAAAAAAAUGGGAGUGAAAUUAGUCCAAGUUCGUUUCCUGAUUCAAGCGGCUUUUUAUCUCCCAAUUCUGUUAUGAAGAGGAACAAAAAGGAAAUUUUUGUCGGGUAUGUCGUUCAAACUAUUCAUUAUGUUUGACCGUUAUGGAGUUUUUGAAAGUGUUCUUGAAGUAAUCAGUUAUGGAGAGGGUUCUAUUAUGGCUUUUAGUUAUGAAUCUUGGUUUGAGAAAUUUUGUACCAAUUCUAUUAGGUGGUUGUGGUUUGUUGACAGUUGAGUUGGUUAGAGAGUUGGUUGGAGAAGAGUUUAAAGGGGGAGUUUUCUCUGUGAGGCGUGAUUUGUUGAUUUCCGGUUAGAAGAGGCUUUUGUUUAAACAGUUUUGUGUAUUGGUUAACAGGUUUUGUCAACAAUUGAGAAUUUCUUGAUAGUUACCGGAACUCGGUUUUGGUUGGAGUGAAGCUUCCGGUUCCGGUUAUCGGUUGAUGUCAGUUGGGAGUUUUGGAAGAGUUUCCAUUGGUUUUGAUUGUUGCUGCUGCGGUUUGAUGGUUGCAUUGUUCUAAAAUGAACCGUGACAAAAGUCCAUUUGCUUAAAGCAUAUCAUAUGUCCGCGGGUAGGUGGGGAACGGUUCACACCAGUCAGGCAUAACACCUUUUCUCUUUCACCAGUGCGACAUUCAGACCCCCCC